rnacentral:tRNA from 1 species
CGGGAAGUAGCUCAGCUUGGUAGAGCACCACGUUCGGGACGUGGGGGUCGCAAGUUCGAAUCUUGUCUUCCCGA